CAUAGAUAGUGUAGCUGUUGCUGAAAGAGUACUUUAAAUAGGGUACAUGUCAUAUUAUAUAAAUGCUUUAAAUAUGUGUAAAUAAAUAAAUAUUAAUAAAUAAGUUCAUGAUGAGCAAGGUUAUAAAAUAUGAUUACAAAUGUGUGAUUGUUCAUCUCCUGGAGAGAACGUAUGUGUAUUUUGUUAAUUGUGUUGCAAGGCGGAACAAUUGUUGUAAUGUUACGCCCCCCACGGACUGAUAAGAGGAGAGAACAUGCAAGAAAGUUGGAGCCAUAAGCACGUUGUCUUCAGCUCCUCAAAAGAUUUACAAGUUAAAUGCACUGUAUGAUAAGAAACUUCAAGCAAACCUCUGUUAGAACCUCUUUUCGUUACAAGCAGCCAACGAGUUCUCACGGCGUGGAUGGUGUGUACAGCAAGAAGAAAGGCAUCAAUAAACGCCCGUUUUCCAAAAAGAACUGUUCCUGUGUUGCCGUGUAUUCGAAAGGAGUUACAGUGAGAACUCGACUGCCUUCGCGGGUAGGAGAGACACGGGACCAUAUGGUGGAAGAAGACGAUAGAAGCAAGUUCAACGAACAUUGAUAGCUAAGUUUCCAUUCAUGCUAGCGCAUCUCGAAGACGAAGAUUAGCCUGCCUGUCAAUCAAGUCGAUUUCCAGGACAAAGAAGCCCCGCCAAAGCCAAGUGGUGGGAGAAGAAGUUUCUGGAAUUCACAAGGACUCAGGUUAUCACUUUGCAAACGGUGCCUAGUAUGAAGGUUUCAAACUAGUAUUAUGUUCAUUUGCUGAUAUUGUCGAACUGUAUGUGUUUAACUGCAAAUUAGUCCAACUGCAGACCAAGAAGGCUUUUAGUUUCAAACGGUGCAACAGCAUAAUUCAAAAGAAAGAUUUUGUAAUUUCAGUUCAUUCUGCCAGGUGUAAAAGGCAUUCUUAAGUUAAAGCAAGAUUGGCAUAUUUCUGUUAAUUAAGCCAGCUUAAUAAGGCAUCUUUGAGUUUGGUCAAGAUUUAUACAUUUUCUGUUUACUAAGCAAAGGGCAUUUUAAGUUGAAUUUAUAAGUCUAUGGGAGACUCAAUGUACAUAUAAACCCCAAAUUAAGUAAUAAUCAAAAUAGGCCCAAGUAACUUCCUCUUUAUUAAGAGCUUUCUGCACAAACCUUUAGGAAGCAUUUGCAGAAUUAACAAGUAAACAGUAGGCUGUUCAAGUAAAACAUAGCCUAGGCUAAAUAGGCCUAAUUUAAGUGAC
ensembl:lncRNA